AAAGCAAGGAUUAACUCAGUAGCCAAAAACUUCUUUUCUUUCUUCCUACUUCCAAAAAGAAAGAUGCAGUCUUUGUUCUUUUCCAUGGUCCUGUUGGGCAUCACACCUUGCAUCUAUUGUCAAGUGAUGCUGGGACAGGUCAGUUCCGUGGCAUUGAGGCCUUCAGAGACCCUCAGGCUCACCUGCAAAAUUUCUGGGUUCACUCUCACUACAACUGGGUAUGCUGUGAGCUGGAUUCGUCAGCCUCCAGGGAAAGGAUUGGAAUGGCUGACCCUUGUCUACUGGGAUGAUGAUAAGCUCUACUCAGAAUCCCUGAAAACCCGUCUCACCAUUUCCAGAGAUGUUUCCAAGAGUGAAGUUUAUUUAGAGAUGAGAGGCAUGGAGACCAAGGACAGUGGCAUGUAUUACUGUGCCAGAAGAGACACAGCAUGCAAAAGCAAUGGAGAACCUAGACAAAUACCAGCUUCACAGUGA